rnacentral:rRNA from 1 species
AGGGAAUUUUCCGCAAUGGGCGAAAGCCUGACGGAGCAACGCCGCGUGAGUGAAGACGGCCUUCGGGUUGUAAAACUCUGUUCUUGGGGAAGAAGAAAGUGACGGUACCCAAGGAGAAAGCCCCGGCUAACUACGUGCCAGCAGCCGCGGUAAUACGUAGGGGGCGAGCGUUAUCCGGAUUUAUUGGGCGUAAAGCGCGCGCAGGCGGUCAGGUAAGUCGGAUGUGAAAGGCUACGGCUCAACCGUAGAGCGGCAUCCGAAACUGCUUGACUUGAGUGCAGGAGAGGAGAGUGGAAUUCCCGGUGUAGCGGUGGAAUGCGUAGAGAUCGGGAGGAACACCAGUGGCGAAGGCGACUCUCUGGACUGUAACUGACGCUGAGGCGCGAAAGCGUGGGGAGCAAAC